ACAUGCCUACAACAUAACGUUAAUUCACCAGAUCCUAUUAGAACUACGUAGCUAAGCGCAUUAAGGCUAGAGUAGUAUUGGGAUGGGCAACCUCCUCUAAAUUCCUAUUGUUUUACAUGCC
rnacentral:rRNA from 1 species